rnacentral:rRNA from 1 species
AAUCAACGCUGGCGGCGCGCUUAACACAUGCAAGUCGAACGAGAAAGUGGAGCAAUCCAUGAGUAAAGUGGCGUACGGGUGAGUAACACGUGGGUAAUCUACCUUUUAGUGUGGAAUAACCCUGGGAAACCGGGGCUAAUACCGCAUAAUCCCGAGAGGGGAAAGCAGCAAUGCGCUGAAAGAGGAGCCCGCGGCCGAUUAGCCAGUUGGUAGGGUAAAAGCCUACCAAAGCUUAGAUCGGUAGCCGGCCUGAGAGGGCACACGGCCACA